rnacentral:RNase_P_RNA from 1 species
GCGAGCCAGUGCGCGGGUUACUCGAAAGAGAGGAAACUCCUCCCUCACUGCAGGCACCUGAACCAGCGAUGGUUAGCCGGAGACGGCUGGCUACGGAAUAGAAAAGAUAUCCAACCUAGUGCACGAUGAUGGCAAAUAGCCUGAGGUUCCUAGCAAUGGAAUGAAACUGCCGACCCGGGUGGAAUAAGGCCAAAUCGAGCAAAACGGUCCUGCACCAGCUCAGGUUGGCUGCUCAGCGGAAUCCCGCCUAAAACAGAAGGAGGGUUACGGCUGGCACGC